AACGAACGCUGGCGGCGCGUCUUAAGCAUGCAAGUCGAACGGUAAGGGAGAGCUUGCUCUCCCCUAGAGUGGCGGACUGGUGAGUAACGCGUGGGUGACCUGCCCUGAAGAUGGGGAUAGCUAGUAGAAAUAUUAGAUAAUACCGAAUGUGCUCAUUUACAUAAAGGUAAAUGAGGAAAGGAGCUACGGCUCCGCUUUAGGAUGGGCCCGCGUCCCAUUAGCUGGUUGGUGAGGUAAAGGCUCACCAAGGCAACGAUGGGUAUCCGGCCUGAGAGGGAGAACGGACACAUUGGGACUGAGAUACGGCCCAAACUCCUACGGGAGGCAGCAGCUAAGAAUCUUCCGCAAUGGACGAAAGUCUGACGGAGCGACGCCGUGUGAAUGAACAAGGCCGAAAGGUUGUAAAAUUCUUUUGCAGAUGAAGAAUAAACAUAGGAGGGAAUGCCUGUGAGAUGACGGUAAUCAUGCGAAUAAGCCCCGGCUAAUUACGUGCCAGCAGCCGCGGUAACACGUAAGGGGCGAGCGUUGUUCGGAAUUAUUGGGCGUAAAGGGUAUGUAGGCGGUUAGGUAAGCCUGGUGUGAAAUCUACGAGCUCAACUCGUAAACUGCAUUGGGUACUGCUUGACUUGAAUCACGGAGGGGAAACCGGAAUUCCAAGUGUAGGGGUGGAAUCUGUAGAUAUUUGGAAGAACACCGGUGGCGAAGGCGGGUUUCUGGCCGAUGAUUGACGCUGAUAUACGAAGGUGCGGGGAGCAAACAGGAUUAGAUACCCUGGUAGUCCGCACAGUAAACGAUGUACACUAGGUGUCGGGGCAAGAGCUUCGGUGCCGACGCAAACGCAUUAAGUGUACCGCCUGGGAAGUAUGCCCGCAAGGGUGAAACUCAAAGGAAUUGACGGGGGCCCACACAAGCGGUGGAGCAUGUGGUUUAAUUCGAUGAUACGCGAGACACGUUACCUGGGUUUGACAUCAAGAGCAAUGACAUAGAGAUAUGGCAGCGUAGCUAUACGG
rnacentral:rRNA from 1 species